rnacentral:rRNA from 1 species
GUCUACAGCCAUACCACCCUGAAUGUGCUCUAUCUCAGAAGCUAAACAGGAUUAGACCUGGUUAGUACUUGGAUGGGAGACUGUGUGGGAAUACCAGGUGCUGUAGGCU